rnacentral:rRNA from 1 species
CCCUUAGAUGUUCUGGGCCGCACGCGUGCUACACUGAGUGGAUCAGCGGGUCAGGUUGCGCGAAAGCGUUUCAUAAUCUUUAAAUCCGCUCGUGAUGGGGAUUGACGGUUGCAAUUUUCUGUCAUGAACGAGGAAUACCUUGUAAGCGCGGGUCAUCAUCCCGCGCUGAAUACGUCCCUGCCCUUUGUACACACCGCCCGUCGCUCCUACCGAUUGAGUGGUCCGGUGAGGCUUUGGGAUCUGAGCGGAAAGAGCGUUUCGCUGUUUCUGCUCGGAAAACUCAGUCGAACCUUAUCAUUUAGAGGAAGGAGAAGUCGUAACA